GGAGAAGGGAGGAAGAGACAUUCCUGAUGAGAGAAAAAUUAUGAAAAUCAUAGAGGUGACGGAAGAAGAGAGAGUACGAAGUGUAUGAUAUUUUAGAGUAAUUUGAGGUUUUAGAUAAAAACCUUGAGGAAAUGCUGCUAAAUUUGUGAGAGCAAAGAAAGAGGAAGAGAAGAAGAAUAAGGAACACGAUAAAAAAGAAGUUAUAAACCAUUAGAAAGGUAAGCUUUUUCUUAAUUUUUGAAGUUCAGUUUCUCUUUGAUAUUUAGGAU
rnacentral:lncRNA from 1 species